GUCUACAACCAUACCACCCUGAAUGUACACGAUCUCCUCUGAUCUAGGAAGCUAAGCAGGGUCGGGCCUGGUUAGUACUUGGAUGGGAGACCAUUUUAAGGGCUAAUCAGUUGUUGGUU
ensembl:rRNA 5S_rRNA 5S ribosomal RNA